AAGUCGUAACAAGGUUUCCGUAGGUGAAUCGUUCCCCUAGUACAGAAAAAAAAUGGGCUUCCUCAUUGUCUUUCCAAGGUUUUGAGUAAGAGGAUGGCGAACGAGUAGCACCUGUAUUGGGUCGAGCGUUUCCAACUAUCCACGCCUGGGGCCAAGCAACCAUCAAUCUGAAAGUGUUUGGUGAAGGGCAGCGCAGUCAACGAUCCGUGGUCCACACGGCCAUCGACCGGGGGUCGUUACUGGCCUUAGUUCAUUCAGGUUGAACAUGAUGCAUGUCUACCGCGCCCGACGAAAGGCCGACGCACCCCUAACCGAACAACUGUUAACAAUGGAUAUCUUGGUUCUC
rnacentral:misc_RNA from 1 species